UUUAAGUACAGUCAUAGUUUUCCGCGUCCAAUUUUGAUCGUCUGUCUUAUUUAAAUAUUUUUUUAAAAAAAUAAAAACAUAAGUCAUAAGUAAAUUACUAUUCAUAUUUUAUCAUCUCAUAACAAGAAAAAUACUAAUUUAAAAAAAUUAUAAAUAAGACGAACGAUCAAAGUUGAGCACGAAAACU
rnacentral:pre_miRNA from 1 species